rfam:Phenylobacterium sp. SCN 69-14 ABS77_C0053, whole genome shotgun sequence.
GCCGGUUUAGCUCAGUUGGUAGAGCAGCGGUUUUGUAAACCGAAGGUCGCGGGUUCGAGCCCUGCAACCGGCA